rnacentral:lncRNA from 1 species
GUUGCAAUGGGGCUUAUUAAGCCUGGAUAAUGAAAACAUCAGUAGGUUUUAGGUCAAAGGCAUUCAUUAAUAUGGCAUCUUCAGAUGGGAAUAGCAUGUCAAGGAAUUUCCCCUCCCACCUCCUCCCCCUGGACUCAAGCAGGAAUCUGACCCCUAAGUCAUAUGUUAAUGGUUGAGAGGGGGGAGGUCUGACCUGGAGUUGGGAGGGGGGAGGUCUGACUGCCGGGUGUUUAGAGGUGAGGCCUUUGGGAGCAGUUAGGUUUAGUCGAGGUCUUUGGGGUUCAGCCCCAGGCUUGGAUCCUGGUGGCUUUGCAGAGACCGGACCCACGGGUGGCACGGUGGUGUGGUGCCUGUCUCUGUCUUGUGAUGCUCCCUGCCACCUUGGGACUCUGCCAGCAAGGAGGACAUCUCUAUAACCAAGAAUGCCCUCGCCCUGCCCUUGAACCUCCAGAAGUGUGUGCUAAAUAAAGUUCUUUUCUUUAUGUAGUUAGCGUCACUGAGGUCUUUGGCGUUUCUUGUUUGCUUUUUAAGCAUAUUAAGCAGGGUUUAUUUUAAAUGGGGUAACAUAGACUUAUCCUGGGAGGGAG